rnacentral:rRNA from 1 species
UACGUAGGUGGCAAGCGUUGUCCGGAAUUAUUGGGCGUAAAGCGCGCGCAGGCGGCCUUUUAAGUCUGAUGUGAAAGCCCACGGCUCAACCGUGGAAGGUCAUUGGAAACUGAGAGGCUUGAGUACAGAAGAGGAAAGCGGAAUUCCACGUGUAGCGGUGAAAUGCGUAGAGAUGUGGAGGAACACCAGUGGCGAAGGCGGCUCACUGGUCCGGUACUGACGCUGAGGUGCGAAAGCGUGGGGAGCAAACAGG